AUUGAACGCUGGCGGCAUGCCUUACACAUGCAAGUCGAACGGCAGCGCGGGAGCAAUCCUGGCGGCGAGUGGCGAACGGGUGAGUAAUAUAUCGGAACGUGCCCAGUAGUGGGGGAUAGCCCGGCGAAAGCCGGAUUAAUACCGCAUACGACCUACGGGUGAAAGGGGGGGAUCGCAAGACCUCUCGCUAUUGGAGCGGCCGAUAUCAGAUUAGGUAGUUGGUGGGGUAAAGGCCUACCAAGCCUGCGAUCUGUAGUAGGUCUGAGAGGACGACCAGCCACAAUGGGACUGAGACACGGCCCAGACUCGUACGGGAGGCAGCAGUGGGGAAUUUUGGACAAUGGGCGCAAGCCUGAUCCAGCAAUGCCGCGUGCAGGAAGAAGGCCUUCGGGUUGUAAACUGCUUUUGUCAGGGAAGAAAUCCUCUAGGCUAAUACCUUGGGGGGAUGACGGUACCUGAAGAAUAAGCACCGGCUAACUACGUGCCAGCCGCCGCCGUAAGAC
rnacentral:rRNA from 1 species